rnacentral:lncRNA from 1 species
AAACAAACCACCUCAGCAUCCAGGAUGGUGAAUACAAUGACAGUUAGGGGGAAAUGAACCUUCCCCGUCCCCUCACAGAUCCUAGAGUUAAACAAUAAGGAAAUCUGUGUCCUUGGGGUGCCCAGUGAUUCCCAAAGAGGAGAGAUUUUGUCUGGUUGGAGUUUCAUCCGAAAUGUCUAGGGACAUUUUCCUUUGUGUCACCAAGGUAAGGGCAUAUGGUGAAGAGCCCUGGACCUACUGGGUAUGGGCCAGGAACAUUGCCUAACACCCAACAAUGCACAGGAAGGCUCCUCCAGGGAUGGAAUUCUGCCACAGCUAUGAUUUCUUAGGGUCUGUGGCUUGAAUGAGGAUAGCACCCAGAGGCUCCCAUAUUUAAACACUUGGUCCCCAGUUGAUUGUGACAUCUGGGGAGGCUUAGGGGAUGUGGCCUUGGUAGAGGACAUAUGGCAGACUUUGCUUCAGGUAAAGCCGCCACUUGCUGCCACAAUGACCCAGCCAAAACAGUCUCUUCGCCUACCACUAUGGAUGGUCUUGGCCAUGGUGUUUCAGCAACAGAGAGGGAAGGGAGGCAGGGAAGGAAACAUAUCUAAGAUCUUGACCCUCGACACCUGAGAAACUCCUGAGUUUCCAUAAGUACAUGAUAAAAACAAACUGCCAAGGGGUCAAAAGUCAAAUUAUUAUUU